rnacentral:rRNA from 1 species
GAGACAGUCCUCUUUGAGGUCUGUCAUCGGAAUGGGUACAAUUUAAACCCUUUAACGAGGAUCUAUUGGAGGGCAAGUCUGGUGCCAGCAGCCGCGGUAAUUCCAGCUCCAAUAGCGUAUGUUAAUGUUGUUGCGGUUAAAAAGCUCGUAGUUGGAUCUGCGCUCGUCAACACUGGUUCUCUUCUCGAGAUACUAGCUGUUGCGGGCUACCUUGUUAGAUGCCUCUUGGUGCUCUUUACUGAGUGCCUUGAGCGUCUAGCUCGUUUACUUUGAAAAAAUUAGAGUGCUCAAAGCAGGCAUUAGCCUGAAUAGUGGUGCAUGGAAUAAUGGAAUAGGACCUCGGUUCUAUUUUGUUGGUUUUCGGAGCAUGAGGUAAUGAUUAAGAGGGACAUACGGGGGCAUUCGUACUGCUACGUUAGAGGUGAAAUUCUUGGAUCGUAGCAUGACGAACAACUGC